GAUGAACGCUGGCGGCGUGCCUAAUACAUGCAAGUCGAGCGAACAGACGAGGAGCUUGCUGCUCUGACGUUAGGGGAGGGCGGGAGAGAAACACGUGGAUAACCUACCUAUAAGACUGGGAUAACUUCGGGACACCGGAGAUAAUACCGGAUAAUAUAUUGAACCGCAGGGUGCAAUAGUGAAAGUCGGUGUUGCUGGCACGACUCGAUGGAUCCGAGCCGGAUUGGCUAGUUGGUAAGGUAACGGCUUACCAAGGCAACGAUGCGUAGCCGACCUGAGGGGCUGAUCGGCCACACGGGAACUUAGACACGGUCCUUGCUCCUACGGGAGGCAGCAGUAGGGAAUCUUCCGCAAUGGGCGAAAGCCUGACGGAGCAACGCCGCGUGAGUGAUGAAGGUCUUCGGAUCGUAAAACUCUGUUAUUAGGGAAGAACAAAUGUGUAAGUAACUAUGCACGUCUUGACGGUACCUAGUCAGAAAGCCACGGCUAACUACGUG
rnacentral:rRNA from 1 species